rnacentral:rRNA from 1 species
UACGGAGGGGGCGAGCGUUAUUCGGAAUUACUGGGCGUAAAGCGCACGUAGGCGGCUUUGUAAGUUAGAGGUGAAAGCCCGGGGCUCAACUCCGGAAUUGCCUUUAAGACUGCAUCGCUAGAAUUGUGGAGAGGUAAGUGGAAUUCCGAGUGUAGAGGUGAAAUUCGUAGAUAUUAGGAAGAACACCGGUGGCGAAGGCGGCCCACUGGAUCGGUACUGACGCUGAGGUGCGAAAGCGUGGGGAGCAAACAGG